rnacentral:lncRNA from 1 species
GACCUACCUCUUGAAUAUGGAGUACAUGACACUUUUAAUGUAAUUGAUCUUUCUCCAUUUGUAGGUACCAAUGACGAUGACGAGCUGGAUUUGAGGACAAAUCCUUUCCAAGGGGGAGGGGAUGAUGGAGGAGGGCCAAGCACACCUACCCAAGCAAGCCAAGGAGAGCGUCUAGACCAAGACCAAGACCAAGGUGAGCGUCUAGGACGUGAAGGUGAGCGUCUAGGACGUGAAGGUGAGCGUCUAGGACGUGAAGGAGGGAGGCUACCCUUGGAGCUAGACCGUCUAGGUCCCCUUACAAGAUCAAUGGCCAAACAUAUUCAAACACAAGCAAAUGAGGCCACGGAUGGAAGAGAGAAGGCUUUGUAUAUGUUUGCAUAAAGGCCCAUUGGGGGUACUUAGUAGAUAGGAUAGUGUAGGAAGCAUUUUGGAUGGAAACCUUCUAGAAACUAGGGUUGUGUAUGGCCGGUCAUUGCACCCUAGAAUUUAGAUUUAAUUUUGGUUUUCUUUUCCUUGUAAUGUAGCUUAUCAUUUACGUCCCAAACUAGCCUAUAAAUAGGAAGGCUAACUCAUUGUAUUUGACAAGUUUAAUUGAGUAUUGUUAUGCUG